rnacentral:rRNA from 1 species
CUGGUUGAUCCUGCCAGAGGUUACUGCUAUCGAGGUUCGACUAAGCCAUGCGAGUCGAAUGUAGCAAUACAUGGCGUACUGCUCAGUAACACGUGGACAACCUGCCCUUGAGACGGGGAUAAACCCGGGAAACUGGGUAUAAUACCCGAUAGAUCUCGAUUGCUGGAAUGCAUCGAGCUUGAAAGCUCCGGCGCUCAAGGAUGGGUCUGCGGCCUAUCAGGUAGUAGUGGGUGUAGCGUACCUACUAGCCUACGACGGGUACGGGUUGUGAGAGCAAGAGCCCGGAGAUGGAUUCUGAGACACGAAUCCAGGCCCUACGGGGCGCAGCAGUCGCGAAAACUUCACAAUGGGGGAAACCCCGAUGAGGGAAUUCCAAGUGUCAGCACAUUGUGUUGACUGUUCCCCUGUCUAAAAAACAGGAGAAGUAAGGGCCGGGUAAGACAGGUGCCAGCCGCCGCGGUAAUACCCGCGGCCCGAGUGGUGGUCGAUAUUAUUGAGCCUAAAACGUUCGUAGCCGGUCUUGUAAAUCCUUGGGUAAAUCGGCCAGCUUAACUGUCCGAAGUCCGGGGAGACUGCAAGACUUGGGAUCGGGAGAGGUCAGAGGUACUUCUGGGGUAGGGGUAAAAUCCUGUAAUCCUAGAAGGACCACCGGUGGCGAAGGCGUCUGACUAGAACGAAUUCGACGGUGAGGAACGAAGCCCUGGGGCGCAAACGGGAUUAGAUACCCCGGUAGUCCAGGGUGUAAACGCUGCGGGCUUGGUGUUGGGGGUCCUUAGUGGGCGCCCAGUGCCGGAGAGAAGUUGUUAAGCCUGCUGCUUGGGGAGUAUGUCCGCAAGGAUGAAACUUAAAGGAAUUGGCGGGGGAGCACCGCAACGGGAGGAGCGUGCGGUUCAAUUGGAUUCAACGCCGGG